AAGCCCCCCCCUAACAACAGAGCCACCUACCCAUUCCCUCUCUGUCUUACGCACGGGCCGGCGACCGUUAACAAAAGCUAAAACUCUAGCGGACCCUCCAGCCUAACCCCAGGUUUUAUUAAUCCUGCUGUGUAAACUUAACCAUGGCGGCUAGUGCUAAACGAAAACAAGAGGAGAAACACCUAAAGAUGCUGAGAGAAAUGACGAGUUUGCCUCCCAACAGAAAGUGCUUUGACUGCGACCAGCGCGGCCCAACCUAUGCCAACAUGACCGUGGGCUCCUUCGUGUGCACCUCCUGCUCCGGCAUCCUACGAGGACUGAAUCCACCUCACAGAGUCAAGUCCAUCUCAAUGACAACCUUCACGCAACUGGAAAUAGAGUUCCUACAGAAACAUGCCAAUGAGGUAUGUAAACGGAUGUGGCUCGGCCUUUAUGACGACAGAACUACCUCAAUACCAGACUUCAGAGAACCACAGAAGGUCAAGGAGUUCCUUCAAGAGAAAUAUGAGAAGAAGAGAUGGUACGUACCUCCUGAGCAGGCCAAAGUAGUUGCCUCCGUCCAUGCUUCCAUCUCCGGCUCCUCGAACAGCAGCACCAGCAGCACCCCUGAGGUUAGACCACUGAAAGCCCUGCUGGGGGAGUCGGCCCCCUCCCUCCACCUCAACAAGAACACCCCACCUAACCAGUCUCCAGUGGUGAGCCGUGGACAAACCCAUCAGCAGCAGUUCCAUGACAAAAGGUUCGACCUCCUCAGUGACUUGGGUGGAGACAUCUUCGCUGCCCCGCCCAACAUGAACGCAGGCGCCGGCUCCAGUUUUGCUAACUUUGCACAUUUCAACAGCCACACAACAGCACAGAAUGCAAACGCAGACUUUGCUAAUUUUGAUGCAUUUGGGAGCACCUCUGGGUCGACAGGUGGUUUCCCCUCCGCUCCCCAAGCCCCAUUCCACCCCUCAAAUACAGCAUUCACUGCUCUUUCAUCCAGCCGCAGUAUGGGUGAGUUUGCCACUGGUCUGCCUCUUCAGGUUGCACACAGUAGCGCCUCAGGUGGACUAGCAAAUGCCAAUUUUGCAAAUUUUGCCAACUGCCCCAAAUCGUGUAGCGCUGACUUUGGAUCCUUCAGCUGCUCCUCCCAGAGUAACUCCACAGGAGCCGGCAGAGAUGCUGUACAGAGUACUAGCCUCCCUGCCGAUAGAUACGCAGCCCUGGCUGACCUGGAUAACGGGUUUAGCUCUGCCAAAACAGAGCAAGGAGGUGGGAUUCCUGUUGGGGUGAGCUCAGCCGCGGCGGCAGGAGUAUCUGGUUUUCCUCAGAAGCAGUCAGCGAUGUCAGCAGGGGGGGACCGCUAUGCUGCUCUAGCUGAGCUUGAUAAUGUCUUUGGCCCCUCGGUCCCUGCCACCAGUGUUUACAACCCCACCAGCACCUCACAAGGAAUACAUGAUCGACUAUCUGGCAACUUCACUAACAAACACUUUUAUCCAAAGCAACCUACAAACAUACAGGGUAUGUUUGGCCCAGAGACUGGGAUGUCAACUGCACACGCACAGCAGGCGCUGCCUGGCAUGGCUCAAGGUUUUGGUGCUCAGUCAACUAAUCCGUUUGUAGCUGCGCCAGCAACGGCUCCCACCAACCCGUUCCAGAGCAACGGCAGAGCAGCUAAUAUGGCGGCAGCGGCUGCAGCAGCAGCGGCAUCAUUUGGCACGGGCUCCAUGAGUAUGCCAGCUGGAUUUGGGAAUACUGCAGCCUUCAACCUCCCCACCAGCUUUAGUGGAACGUUCCAGCAACCAUUUCCUGGCCAGGCUCCCUUUCCUCAGCCUCCUGCGUACCCCCAGCAACCCAACGGUGGAGGAUUUGCAUCCUUUGGUCAGGCCAAGCCUGUUGUGACUCCUUUCGGGCAGCAAAUGGCCGGACCUAUGCUCUCUAGCAACCCGUUCCUGGGUGCGGGUCCAUCUGCGCAAUAUCCAGCAGGAGGCUCUUCAACGAAUCCCUUCUUAUAGCGAUCCGUCCAAUCCGCUCCACCACAGGGUCAACAACUGGCGCGCUUGCACUUAUUGCACUGUAUGUUUCACAAGUAGCUUUAAACACAAUGUUUGUAAGGAUUUGUAUUUUGUAUCGCAGUUUGUCACAAAUGGAACAAUACGACAGACAGUCAUGCUGACGCUAUCAUUGGCUACAAAUCAAAGUGAUGGUAUGUGCAGAGGGAGAGGCUGAUCCCCUCGUCUCUAUUUAACCUGUGAACUGGCCUAGCCUCUACUGAACCACAAUGUAUAAUCAAACUGGCUGAAAACUAAGUUAUUGCAUACACUAUAUCCCAUUCAUCAUGCUGCAACUCUGUACAUAUUCAUUUUCUUUUUGGAAAUUAGCGCUUUGUGCAUAUCAGUAUUUGUAUCUUACACAUAAGAUUUGUUAAGACAGAACUGUUGCUUGGAUAAGUUAAUUGGUACCGCCACUUACUGUAUUUGUGAAGAACCAAACUGUUUAUGUGUGCAGGUUCCUUUUUAGGUUAACUGUUCUCACUGAAGAAAAAGAAAAAAAACGCCUAUUCUGUUUGCAAGAGAUGAAAAGAGUGACUGCUCCAUCCGGGAUGUGUCCCGUGUCCUGCUGACAGACGCCCAGGUCACACAGCUCCUGAACUACAGUCAGUCCAUAAGUGAAUAAAAGGAAUGGCUAAUGAGAGUCUGGAGGUUCUUGUUUGACCGGAGGGGCGGACUCGUGGGACUUGUUGCUUCUCUGCAUUCUCCAAAUGGUAAACAGUCCCCGAAGUGAAAAAACAACCGCUAUGAGUGAGAAGUAGCUGGCGUAUAUGGUGAACUGCAAAAACAAAAGUGUUUGUAACGGUGAUGAGUGGACAUACAAACAGUUCUACGACA